ensembl:lncRNA
UUGUGACCCUGUGCAGGGGUCAGAGAGCACACUGAGUCCUCAGGCUUUCUUGAAGAGGAUCAGGAGAUGAGGCGAGGCAAGCAGACAGACAGCAGACAGGUGCAAAAGACCAAACACAGACAGGAUUUUGUCAAGAAAAACAUUGAGCUUGCUGGUGGAGCAGGAGGCCUGAUGAUGACACAUAAGGAGAAAGAGCGCCUUGAGGAGAUCCUCAAUGAUGAGUCUUAUGAUGAUCCAUCAGCCAAACCUAAGGAACUUGAAUUUGGCACACAUCUUAGCCCUGG